CCUACGGGAGGCAGCAGUGGGGAAUAUUGGACAAUGGGGGCAACCCUGAUCCAGCCAUGCCGCGUGUGUGAAGAAGGCCCUCGGGUUGUAAAGCACUUUCAGUGAGGAAGAACGCCUGGUGGUUAAUACCCAUCAGGAAAGACAUCACUCACAGAAGAAGCACCGGCUAACUCCGUGCCAGCAGCCGCGGUAAUACGGAGGGUGCGAGCGUUAAUCGGAAUUACUGGGCGUAAAGCGCGCGUAGGUGGCUUGAUAAGCCGGUUGUGAAAGCCCCGGGCUCAACCUGGGAACGGCAUCCGGAACUGUCAAGCUAGAGUGCAGGAGAGGAAGGUAGAAUUCACGGUGUAGCGGUGAAAUGCGUAGAGAUCGGGAGGAAUACCAGUGGCGAAGGCGGCCUUCUGGACUGACACUGACACUGAGGUGCGAAAGCGUGGGUAGCAAACAGGAUUAGAUACCCGUGUAGUC
rnacentral:rRNA from 1 species